rnacentral:rRNA from 1 species
GGGAGGCAGCAGUAUGGAAUCUUCCGCAAUGGGCGAAAGCCUGACGGACCAACGCCGCGGUGAGUGAUGAAGGUCUUCGGAUCGUAAAACUCUGUUAUUAGGGAAGAACAAAUGUGUAAGUAACUAUGCACGUCGUUGACGGUACCUAAUCAGAAAGCCACGGCUAACUACGUGCCAGCACCCGCGGUAAUACGUAGGUGGCAAGCGUUAUCCGGAAUUAUUGGGCGUAAAGCGCGCGUAGGCGGUUUUUUAAGUCUGAUGUGAAAGCCCACGGCUCCCCCGUGGAGGGUCUUUGGAAACUGGAAAACUUGAGUGCAAAAAAAGAAAGUGGAAUUCCAUGUGUAGCGGUGAAAUGCCCAAGAUAUGGAGGAACACCAGUGGCGAAGGCGACUUUCUGGUCUGUAACUGACGCUGAUGUGCGAAAGCGUGGGGAUCAAACAGGAUUAGAUACCCUGGUAGUCCCCGCCGUAAACGAUGAGUGCUAAGUGUUAGGGAGUUUCCCCCCCUUAGUGCUGCAGCUAACGCAUUAAGCACUCCGCCUGGGGAGUACAACCGCAAGGUUGAAACUCAAAUGAAUUGACGGAAUCUCUAGUGAAGUCGCAAC